rnacentral:rRNA from 1 species
AGUGAACGCUGGCGGUAGGCCUAACACAUGCAAGUCGAACGGCAGCACAGUAAGAGCUUGCUCUUACGGGUGGCGAGUGGCGGACGGGUGAGGAAUACAUCGGAAUCUACUUUUUCGUGGGGGAUAACGUAGGGAAACUUACGCUAAUACCGCAUACGACCUACUGGUGAAAGCAGGGGAUCUUCGGACCUUGCGCUAUUGAAUGAGCCGAUGUCGGAUUAGCUAGUUGGCGGGGUAAAGGCCCACCAAGGCGACGAUCCGUAGCCGGUCUGAGAGGAUGAUCAGCCACACUGAAACUGAGACACGGUCCAGACUCCUACGGGAGGAAGCAGUGGGGAAUAUUGGACGAUGGAGGCGAGCCUGAUCCAGGCAUACCGCGUGGGUGAAGAAGGCCUUCGGGUUGGAAAGCCCUUUUGUUGGGAAAGAAGAGCAGCAGGUUAAUACCCCGCUGUUCUGACGGUACCCAAAGAAUAAGCACCGGCUAACUUCGUG